CCAAUGAGGACUGUUGAAUGGAGUUGGCAGUUUUACUCUGCAUGAACUGAAACAAUAAGACGCCUCAUGAACCUUAAACACUAAUAAAAGUGAAAUCAAGUGACGUUACUGCUGCUUUAUGAAGGCAGUCAUCGCAGGUCCCUCCCACCACUUCAGCCAUUAGUCCCGUCCAAUCAGAGUCCAGUUUGAGCCGCGCCAAAAAUCGGUCGCACCUGUUGCCCAUGCGCUAAUCAAACCCAUGUGACCGGAAAGGAGCGGGCUCAGCCAAUAGCAGGGCAGCAGUUUAUGUCGGCGCCGCUUAUGAGGCGUCGGGGUGACGCCGGCUCGGGUUUGCCGUGGAAUACCGGACACCUGGGUAACGUUCUGCUUUGUUCAAGAUCUUUUUCUGUGAAAGCUGUGGCUGAGAGCAGAGACACGAUUCCGGCCUAGUGGAGCUGGAACUUCGGCGUGAGCCCGGGACAGGCGGCUCCCGUGUCCGGAGCAGUCCAGAGGAAAAAUGGCGGAUGUGGAGGCCAGGACGGUCGAAGGGAUUCAGCGGAGCAGCCGAGACCAUUUCGGAGAAGGCACCGCGCUUGG